ACAUCUGCAAAAUCAGAUGUCAGGAUUGGAACCCUGUGUUAGCAACCGCGACAUAUGCACGCCGCGAGCGUGUUUUUU
rnacentral:sRNA from 1 species